rnacentral:rRNA from 1 species
AAACUUUCAACAACGGAUCUCUUGGUUCCGGCAUCAAUAAAAAACGCACCGAAAUGCGAUAAGUAAUGUGGACCGCAGUACUCACCGACUCAUCAAAUCUUUGAACGCACAUUGCGCCCCUUGGUAUCACCAAAGGGCACACCUGUUCAAGCGUCAUCA